rnacentral:tmRNA from 1 species
GGGCAUGUAUUAUAAUCGAAAUAAGUAAUGGAUUAUUUAGUUGCAAGACGGAGAAUGGUGGGAUUGGCUUCGUUAAAAAUUCCUACCUAAAUUAACUGCUAAAAACAAGUUAAAUAGUGUUAAGGCUAGUUACAAAGCUGGAUUGUCAAAGAUUCAGGCUAUACUAGCUUCGGCACAAUUCGCUACCGCUUAAGGUAGUGACACAUAUCAAGGAUUCUCAUUAAAUUGAAUAUGUGUUGUUAAUGAGAGAAAAAGCUUAUUAAUAAUUUUUAGCUUACAAUAAAGAUAAAUUAUAUAUUGUUAAUUCUAUUUGUUAUAUUUAGGAAUUAAACAGAAAAUAAAAUUUAACUAAUCUUGUAGUAACUAAUAGGCUAAUAUUUAUUGACCUGCGCUGAAAUUCGCAGCAUGUCCACCA